AAAUUGAAGAGUUUGAUCAUGGCUCAGAUUGAACGCUGGCGGCAGGCCUAACACAUGCAAGUCGAACGGUAACAGGAAACAGCUUGCUGUUUCGCUGACGAGUGGCGGACGGGUGAGUAAUGUCUGGGAAACUGCCUGAUGGAGGGGGGAUAACUACUGGAAACGGUAGCUAAUACCGCAUAACGUCGCAAGACCAAAGAGGGGGACCUUCGGGCCUCUUGCCAUCGGAUGUGCCCAGAUGGGAUUAGCUAGUAGGUGGGGUAACGGCUCACCUAGGCGACGAUCCCUAGCUGGUCUGAGAGGAUGACCAGCCACACUGGAACUGAGACACGGUCCAGACUCCUACGGGAGGCAGCAGUGGGGAAUAUUGCACAAUGGGCGCAAGCCUGAUGCAGCCAUGCCGCGUGUAUGAAGAAGGCCUUCGGGUUGUAAAGUACUUUCAG
rnacentral:rRNA from 1 species